AUCUCUUCACUCCCUGAAGUUUUAUUUGGUUUAUUGCUCUGCUUUUUGGUAACGAUGAUUUGAGCUAAGAUGCUAAGAAGGCAAACAUAGCAGCAAGGAAGGACAGGAACUUGGGUUAAUCUUGGUUUGUUAAUAAUUAAUUUCAUGAUUUUUUUUUCUAAGAGUUUUGCACUGAUAUAUAUAUAUAUAUAUAUAUGUUUAUAACCUUGGUUUUG